rnacentral:misc_RNA from 1 species
GAUGAAGAACGUAGCAAAAUGCGAUAAGUAAUGUGAAUUGCAGAAUUCAGUGAAUCAUCGAAUCUUUGAACGCACAUUGCGCCCGCUGGUAUUCCGGCGGGCAUGCCUGUUCGAGCGUCAUUUCAACCCUCAAGCCCCGGGUUUGGUGUUGGGGAUCGGCUCUGCCCUUCUGGGCGGUGCCGCCCCCGAAAUACAUUGGCGGUCUCGCUGCAGCCUCCAUUGCGUAGUAGCUAACACCUCGCAACUGGAACGCGGCGCGGCCAUGCCGUAAAACCCCAACUUCUGAAUGUUGACCUCGGAUCAGGUAGGAAUACCCGCUGAACUUAAGCAUAUCAAUAAGCGGAGGA